rnacentral:rRNA from 1 species
UACAGAGGGUGCAAGCGUUAAUCGGAGUUACUGGGCGUAAAGGGCGCGUAGGCGGUUAGAUGUGUGAGAUGUGAAAUCCCUGGGCUUAACCUAGGAACUGCAUCUUAAACUGUCUGACUGGAGUACUGUAGAGGGUAGUGGAAUUUCCGGUGUAGCGGUGAAAUGCGUAGAGAUCGGAAGGAACACCAGUGGCGAAGGCGGCUACCUGGACAGAUACUGACGCUGAGGCGCGAGAGCGUGGGGAGCAAACAGG